GUCCGGGAUAGCUCAACCGGUAGAGCACGAGACUCUGAAUCUCAGGGCUGUGGGUUCGAGCCCCACGUUGGGCA